GGGCCUGUAGCUCAGUGGUGAGAGCAGAGGACUCAUAAUCCUUCGGUCGUGGGUUCGAUCCCCACCAGGCCCACCC
rnacentral:tRNA from 1 species